rnacentral:rRNA from 1 species
GAUGAACGCUGGCGGCGUGCCUAAUACAUGCAAGUCGAGCGAACAGACGAGGAGCUUGCUCCUCUGACGUUAGCGGCGGACGGGUGAGUAACACGUGGAUAACCUACCUAUAAGACUGGGAUAACUUCGGGAAACCGGAGCUAAUACCGGAUAAUAUAUUGAACCGCAUGGUUCAAUAGUGAAAGACGGUUUUGCUGUCACUUAUAGAUGGAUCCGCGCCGCAUUAGCUAGUUGGUAAGGUAACGGCUUACCAAGGCGACGAUGCGUAGCCGACCCGAGAGGGUGAUCGGCCACACUGGAACUGAGACACGGUCCAGACUCCUACGGGAGGCAGCAGUAGGGAAUCUUCCGCAAUGGGCGAAAGCCUGACGGAGCAACGCCGCGUGGGUGAUGAAGGUCUUCGGAUCGUAAAACUCUGUUAUUAGGGAAGAACAAAUGUGUAAGUAACUAUGCACGUCUUGACGGUACCUAAUCAGAAAGCCACGGCUAACUACGUG